rnacentral:rRNA from 1 species
GACGAACCGAGCGAGCGUUGCUCGGAAUCACUGGGCGUAAAGCGCACGUAGGCGGAUUGCUAAGUCAGGGGUGAAAUCCUGGAGCUCAACUCCAGAACUGCCCUUGAUACUGGCGGUCUCGAGUCCGGGAGAGGUGAGUGGAACUGCGAGUGUAGAGGUGAAAUUCGUAGAUAUUCGCAAGAACACCAGUGGCGAAGGCGGCUCACUGGCCCGGUACUGACGCUGAGGUGCGAAAGCGUGGG